UCAGCAACAACCCCGAACCCUAGUAGCGCCGCCACCCAAGCUUCGCGAGCUCGCCGCCGCAAACCCGUCACCAAAAGGUGAGCUCCGCCACGCCAUGUCUCUCGCCGAAGCCCCAAACGAGUUCGCCGCGUGCCCCUCAUGCUACCCGUGUUCCUCGCGUGUCGAACCGUGGCCGGAAGCUCGUUUUCGAGCAACUCCAGCGAAUCGCCGCCGCUUGCAGCCUGAACCACCGCCGCUCGCCGCCCGUUCCGCUGCCGCCGGCGAUCGCGACUGUCGGAUCUAGAUCCGACGGCCCUCAGUCAACCGAUCGGGUAGCGUACCGGUCAACCGCGCCGCACUGCUGCUCUUUUGUACUUAAGCCCUCACCUUUUCCGCAAAUCAACCCGCAGUCCAACCUAGUUCAAAAGUGAUUGUGUUUUGGUCCUAUUUUCUUUUGCUUAAGCCCCUGAGUUCCUCUAAAAUCAACCCUCCAUCCUAAGUUGCGUUUUUGCAUGUUAAACCUUCGGUUUAUAUGCGUAAUUAUGUAUAAGUCCUUGAUUUUUCGCAGUUUAACCCUAGAAGUUUUGUGUUCUCGUAGAAAAACCCCUGGAUCUUGUUUUAAUCAUAUCUUUUGCAUCUUAACUCCGUUUUUCGCGUUCUUCAUAUCCAAGUGUUUGUUUUAAAGCAUAGAUUAAUCUUUUGAGCUUGUUUUCGAUGUUUAAUUGUGUUUGGAGUACUGUUUUCUUACUUUAUGCCUUUGUUUGCUUGUAUGUGCUCGUGUGACGUGUGUAGACGUUCAGCAGUUCGAGGGAUUUGAAGAUCAAGCUUUCGAGGAGUACGAACAGAAAGAGCAAGGCCAAGAAGGCAAGUCGUGUCCUUGAUCACUAAUCUUCAGUCCUAUACACCUUUUCUUUCUUGUACUCAACAACUAUGCUAUGCACAUGAUAAGUUUAAAUUGAUGGGUCCCAAUUAAGGAUGACUAGUUUUAAUUACCUUUGCCUUGACCAACCAGGUUUACUUUUAUGUUGGGUAGCUCAUGCUUAGCGCUUACUUGGGAUAUGGUGGUUUAACUGAAUUCCAUGAUUAAUCUUGCUUUACUUCUGUUAUACCUUUCAUUAAUGCAAGAUUACAAAUGUUUAAUCGGAACAUGGAGAACCACCCAGAAAAACAGUGCUACCACAAGACUAAAUGGCUCUGGUCUUGGCUGAAUAAUUAGAAACUCUAGUAUGGGGUAAUCUUACCGAAAGGGCAAGAGGGGAGGCGUUGAUGGGGUAUAGCACUCGCUCUCUUGGGAAGUGAGCUUUGCUAAGAUACUAUACCCACUAGGGGACUGUUAUGCUCUGCUUCGGCCUGAAACCUUAGCGGGUUACCAGUUACUAGCGAAUCUUUAUAAAGGCCUCAUAGCGUCCCUAUGCAAUCACACCUCAGAAGUGUGGUAUGAUGCCUUGCAAACACCGCAUGGUUGGGUCCAAAGUUCCUUUGAACUUUUACGCGACUUGUGGGUAACGAUGUGCGACCUCUGCAGAGUGUAAAACUGAUCGAUUAGCCGUGCUCACGGUUAAGAGCGGUCUGGACCCUCACAUGAUAAUACUACCGAAAGAUGGACUUAAAUUGUUGUCAUUUCAUGCAUAUGUUGUUUACUUUAUUCAUGUUCUUGUUUAAUUUCGGGUGGUAUAAACUUACACUUAGUUAAUUGCUAAUAAAAUUUGACCAACCUAAUUAAAAGCUGACGCUGAUUUAGCCUUGACCAUACCUUAAUUGGCCUUACACUACACUAUUCCCCACGACUUGUUGAGUACCAACCAUAAGUAUACUCACCCUUGCAAAACCGAUGUUCAGACCAAGAUAACUUGGUGGAGUACAUUGACAACUUUGAGGAGUUCUAGGUGUACGGUUCUUCAGUCAGCUGCUUGUGGUGUCGUCAUCGUCUUCGGAGUUUGCUGCGUAUUUAUUUAAGUUCGUGCUUAUUUGAGACUUUCGGUCAUGUAAUAAAUGUUUAAUACUCUCUCUAUUCGCUUUAGCACGGUCUUUGUUAUUCACUUAUGUCAUACAUGUGUGUAACUUGAUCCUGGCGCACAUGUAUUGAAUGCACUCGAUUUUGUCCUUAAAAUUGGGUGUGACAUAAGGCUAUUAUAUAUACUCCCAAAGUCUUGGAUGUCACUGAGUAACAUGUAUUUCUCUUGCAAGCAGCUGUGCACAUUAGCCAGAGAACUCUGAAGUGUUGGAGGAAACCAAAUUACUAUGAUGAGUCUUGACUUGUGUAGCCAAAUGCAUCCGCCGUAACUCGGCAUUCUUAGUGGCCAUCUUCCGCCCGUUUAAAUCAUUUUUUCGCAGUUAUCUACUCUCAGCAGAGUAAACAAACCUGUUUAGCCAUCAGACACUUCUACAUAUGAUGGU
rnacentral:lncRNA from 1 species